UCCGACCCCCGUUUUAUCCCCUUAGAGGUCGAGUUUCGUAAAAUCCGUUCUCAGCGGAUGUCUACGCCCUAUAAGGAACCUACCUGCCAAAUUUCAAAUUUUUAGCUGUUAUAGUUUCGGAGAUUUCGUGAUGACUGAGUCAACCUACCAUCCCCGUUGUAACCCCAAAAGGGAUUUAUUUUCUAAAGAUACAUUAUUUGGACACCUUCU
rnacentral:misc_RNA from 1 species